rnacentral:rRNA from 1 species
UACGAAGGUGGCUAGCGUUGUUCGAAAUUACUGGGCGUAAAGCGCACGUAGGCGGUUCCUUAAGUCAGGGGUGAAAUCCCGAGGCUCAACCUCGGAACUGCCUUUGAUACUGGGGAUAUCGAGUCCGGGAGAGGUGAGUGGAACUGCGAGUGUAGAGGUGAAAUUCGUAGAUAUUCGCAAGAACACCAGUGGCGAAGGCGGCUCACUGGCCCGGUACUGACGCUGAGGUGCGAAAGCGUGGGGAGCAAACAGG